GGGUAGUGAAGUGCGUGUGGACGCACACCGGUCUCGAAAACCGGCGGUGGUGAACAGCCACUGGGGUUCGACUCCUCCGCUGCCCG
rnacentral:tRNA from 1 species